AUCGCCUUCACCUCCAACCCAGUUACGGUCCAUCCUGGGGCCAGAUGUCGCCCAAAAGGACCACAGCAAAGGGGGGCCAAGUGAGCGACAAAGUGUAGAGACUUCUGAGAUUGGCUCAGGGUUGGCACUUACGGAACAAUAAACCGAGCCUUUGAAGAGGCUAAACAAAGGAACCAUUUGUCUACUCCAGCAGCCUGACAAAGGGAGGCAAGCUCUCGGAGGACCAGGAAUAAAAGAAAGCCAAGCUGGAGAGGAGACUCAGGUUUACUGGGUCCAGCCCAAGACCCUCCGCCAGGAUCUGAAGUCAGUAGCCAGCCCGAAGGAGUCGGUAAAGGAGGGAGCUGGAAACUCGUUUUAAGGACCCGCCCCAUCCUUCGCCCUGCAGGAAACCCUGCGCUCCGGACGCCCCAGCCCCCACCAACCUCCCUCCUUCCUUGGCAUCCGGACGCGGCGAUCUCGGCUGCCAGUAGAGGGCACACUUACUUUACUUUCGCAAACACCAGAGCGGGUGCAGCCCGGGGAGGGGGCGGGAGGGAAAGACGCUUUGCAGCAAAACCUUGACUAGGGAUUGGCCGCUCUCCGCAUUUGCGGCAGAGGCCUGGAGGCCGGAGUAAUUUGCAGCCCUUAGAGCCGAACUGCGCUGUGCGCUUGAUUUGGAGGAAGUUACUACUCAUUUAACAAUUGAACGCUGAGCUGCAAACUCAACGGGUAAUAAUUUAUCUCAAACACGCUAUGCAAGCCCUCGUACCCACCCCUCUCCCCGAAUUUUCUUCUGUUUGGGAUUGGGGGGUUGGGGGGGGUGCGGAGAGGAAAAGUUUACUUAAAAUGCGUUGGGGUGAGGGACCAAGGUUGGGAAGAUUGCCUUUGUUUUUAAUGCCCCAGUGUAAUGCGUAAGAGCAAAUCCCGAGGGAAUAUGCAUUCUAUAUUAAAUAUAGAUUCACGUAGGGAGCGAAUAAAUCGUACGUCGUGUUGAGCAACA